rnacentral:rRNA from 1 species
GAUGUCGAUUAGCUGUUGGGCAACUUGAUUGCUUGGUAGCGUAGCUAACGCGUGAAAUCGACGCCUGGGGAGUACGGUCGCAAGAUUAAAACUCAAAGGAAUUGACGGGGACCCGCACAAGCGGUGGAUGAUGUGGAUUAAUUCGAUGCAACGCGAAGAACCUUACCUGGUCUUGACAUGUACGGAACCUUCCAGAGACGGAAGGGUGCCUUCGGGAGCCGUAACACAGGUGCUGCAUGGCUGUCGUCAG